AGAAUGAACGCUGGCGGCAUGCUUUACACAUGCAAGUCGGACGGGAAGUGGUGUUUCCAGUGGCGAACGGGUGAGUAACGCGUAAGAACCUGCCCUUGGGAGGGGGACAACAGCUGGAAACGGCUGCUAAUACCCCGUAGGCUGAGGAGCGAAAGGAGGAAUCCGCCCAAGGAGGGGCUCGCGUCUGAUUAGCUAGUUGGUGAGGUAAUAGCUUACCAAGGCGAUGAUCAGUAGCUGGUCCGAGAGGAUGAUCGGCCACACUGCUACUAACUUUUCGA
rnacentral:rRNA from 1 species